AUCCAUUUGUAUACAGUUCCUAAGCGCGAUGAUUGGGUUGUCAUGCGCAUGCGUGAGAUGUGCCUCCCACAAAGCUUAUUCCGACGUGGGCACAUUGCCCGUCUGACG
ensembl:snoRNA